GGGUCUGUAGCUCAGGUGGUUAGAGCGCACCCUGAUAAGGGUGAGGUCGGUGGUUCGAGUCCACUCAGACCCACCA
rnacentral:tRNA from 1 species